rnacentral:rRNA from 1 species
GCAGCCGCGGUAAUACGGAGGGGGCUAGCGUUGUUCGGAAUUACUGGGCGUAAAGCGCACGUAGGCGGCUUUGUAAGUCAGAGGUGAAAGCCUGGAGCUCAACUCCAGAACUGCCUUUGAGACUGCAUCGCUUGAAUCCAGGAGAGGUCAGUGGAAUUCCGAGUGUAGAGGUGAAAUUCGUAGAUAUUCGGAAGAACACCAGUGGCGAAGGCGGCUGACUGGACUGGUAUUGACGCUGAGGCCUGCGAAAGCGUGGGGAGCAAACAGGAUUAGAUACCCUGGUAGUCCACGCCGUAAACGAUGAUAACUAGCUGUCCGGSACUUGGUGCUUGGGUGGCGCCCGCAUUAAGUUAUCCGCCUGGGAGUACGGCCG